rnacentral:rRNA from 1 species
UACGGAGGGUGCAAACGUUGCUCGGAAUCAUUGGGCGUAAAGCGCGCGUAGGCGGCGAAGCAAGUUGGAUGUGAAAGCCCUGGGCUCAACCUAGGAUGUGCAUACAAAACUGCGGGUCUGGAGGUCGAGAGAGGUGAGUGGAAUUCCGAGUGUAGAGGUGAAAUUCGUAGAUAUUCGGAGGAACACCAGUGGCGAAGGCGGCUCACUGGCUCGAUACUGACGCUGAGGCGCGAAAGCGUGGGGAGCAAACAGG